GAGACAUUUCAUCAUUGGGAUUCAAAAAACACCUCAUAAUAACUCACAAAUAGAAGAUGAUUGAAAUAUUCAAAUAUUUUGUACACUUGUGUCGCACCAGUGUCAUUUAUUGACAUAAAUUUAGAUGUCUCGAGUCAAAAUAGCCCCUUUUAUGCUAAGUUAAUCCAAAACCCCCCACAGACGGGAAACAGUACAGACACAACUCUAGCGAAUGAGGAGCCAUAUUCUUUGAUUUGGGAAACCAAAGCCUGAUGGAAAUGAAAAAGCUCGACAGACACAGAGGCAACACAGCAGCAACAGAAAAUGAUCCUCCAUCACACAGAAACGAGAGCAGUAACUGAG